GACGAACGCUGGCGGCGUGCUUAACACAUGCAAGUCGAGCGAGGGGCAUCCUUCGGGAGUGUCACCUAGCGGCGAACGGGUGAGUAACACGUGGGCAACCUGCCCUCAGCUCUGGGAUAACCCUCGGAACGGGAGCUAAUACCGGAUACGACCUCUUUGGACAUCCUUCGAGGUGGAAAGAAUUUCGGCUGAGGAUGGGCCCGCGGCCUAUCAGCUUGUUGGUGGGAAUGGCCACCAAGGCGACGACGGUAGCCGGCCUGAGAGGGCGACCGGCCACACUGGGACUGAGACACGGCCCAGACUCCUACGGGAGGCAGCAGUGGGGAAUAUUGCGCAAUGGGCGAAAGCCUGACGCAGCGACGCCGCGUGAGGGACGAAGGCCU
rnacentral:rRNA from 1 species